rnacentral:rRNA from 1 species
AGGUUCGAUUCUGGCUCAGGAUGAACGCUGGCGGCGUGCUUAACACAUGCAAGUCGAACGGAGUUUUUAAACGGAAGUUUUCGGAUGGAAGUUUAAGAACUUAGUGGCGGACGGGUGAGUAACGCGUGGGUAACCUGCCUCAUACAGGGGGAUAACAGUUAGAAAUGACUGCUAACACCGCAUAAUAUAGCGAAACCGCAUGAUUUUUGCUAUCAAAUAUUUAUAGGUAUGAGAUGGGCCCGCGUCUGAUUAGCUAGUUGGUGGGGUAAAAGCCUACCAAGGCGACGAUCAGUAGCCGGCUUGAGAGAGUGACCGGCCACAUUGGGACUGAGACACGGCCCAAACUCCUACGGGAGGCAGCAGUGGGGAAUAUUGGACAAUGGGGGAAACCCUGAUCCAGCGACGCCCGCGUGAGUGAAGAAGUAUUUCGGUAUGUAAAGCUCUAUCAGCAGGGAAGAUAAUGACAGUACCUGACUAAGAAGCCCCGGCUAACUACGUGCCAGCAGCAGC